rnacentral:rRNA from 1 species
UGUCCCAUAAAUCGAGACUAGUAUGAAUGGCUAAACGAGGUCUUAACUGUCUCUUACAGGCAAUCGGUGAAAUUGAUCUCCCUGUACAAAAGCAGGGAUAAACACAUAAGACGAGAAGACCCUGUGGAACUUUAAAACCAGCAACCACCUUAAAACACAUACUCACCCACCGGGUUCACUGACACAUAAGAUACUGGUCUGCGUUUUUCGGUUGGGGCGACCUUGGAGUAAAACAAAACCUCCAAAAAUUAGACCAAACCUCUAGACUGAGAGCAACCCCUCAACGUGCUAAUAGCAUCCAGACCCAAUAUAAUUGAUCAAUGGACCAAGCUACCCCAGGGAUAACAGCGCAAUCUCCUUCGAGAGUCCAUAUCGACAAGGAGGUUUACGACCUCGAUGUUGGAUCAGGACAUCCUAGUGGUGCAGCCGCUACUAAGGGUUCGUUUGUUCAACGAUUAACAGU